AUGAGGAGCUGGUGCAGCAUAAAGGUAGGUUCUAGCUAGUGGCCGGGAUUUGGCAGCAACAGCAAUGGCUGUACCCAGUCUCCAGAGAUGGUCGUCGCAGUGGCUCAAGCGCCGCAGUGGACCCCCAGCAGAGGUGGGGGAAGCGCUGCGUUACAACAUAAUGUGCUCUGUGACUGCCAUGGUGGCAUCCACCAGACUGGCUCCGUAGCCCCCCUUGGGGCUUGUGCUUGGCUGCCUGUCCCCAGCCACAGUUUCCGGGGCUCCCAGAGACAUUGUGAUUCGCCCUACAUCAGCUGAAGCUUAAGUGAUCAAGUGUUAGUUUCUGUGCCUUGCCCUCGAAGACCCACCUGAUGCAAUGCCUUUCUGUGACCAGCACAGAGAGGACUGGUAAAGCAGAUAAAAAGAAAAUGAAGCAACCUACAGUAAAAGACAAACAAGAAAGAAAGAAGGAAAGGAAAAGAAAGGAAAGGACAGGACAGGAAAGGAAGGAAAAGAGAAAAGAGAAGAGAAAAGGAAAGAGAAGGAAAAGGAAAAGAAAAGAACCAAAAAGCACAUGGAUACCUGGUGGAUUCAUGCAGGGCUAAAUGUUUAUCCAUUAAAACAAAAUGGGUAAAAUCAACAUGAUUUUUGAAACGAUCUCCCUUUUAAAAAUGGCAUGCACGUUUGAGAAGACCUGACUGCAAUCUCGUCCGUGAACAUGACCAGGGAAAAUUUAUGAAGGUAACAUGCCUGAGCCGCUUUCCCAAAAAAAGAGGAAAUCUGUGCAGUGAAAGGAGGCUAAAUGCUAGAGAAGCAGUGAGCAGUGCAUUGGGCGCUGCAGUGUCUUUGGCUGUGCUUAACUUCCAAACAAAAAGAGGUGGAGAAGGAAUGAAAGCAGACGUAAUUUGCGGACUGCCGGGUACUCCGGGGGCUUCACACAGUAACCUGAAGAUUUAGGCCCAGGAAGGGCAACACUGGUUAAGCCAUGCCAGCGGGGUGGCACUUUGUUGAAGCUAUUUUACUUCCUUGGCUGGGAAUUCAUACCUGCCCAUGGAUUAUCUUUUUGAUUAUGACUUGGCUUCCCAUGGGAAUUCUUAUCACCACCUCCACACCCAUUCAUCGUCAUGGCUCCCAUUUGGUUAUUGCUUCUGCCAUGUUCUGUCCUCCCUUUCCUGGGAUGAAUACCUGUGCAACAUGUCCCCACAGUCCUUAGAGGCCUCCAGAUAAAUGCAGAGAAGUGGAAUGGCUGAUUCAAAGGAUGGAAAGUUUUAGAACUUUUGGUACAGAUUUUCCGGAAGAACUAAGUACCAAUAGCUCCCUCCAGCAGUGGGCUUGCCUGACUUUGCGACUUAUGCCUAGUAACAGUCAGGCUGAUUUCCAUUUUCUGGGCACUGGUGCUCUGCCCACAGUUUAUAGUCGUGUCUCCUAUAGUCCCACCAACAACCUUGCAAGGUUGGCCUUCUUUCCCCACGCAAACAAGAGUGAAGCUCAAAGAGACCCAGUUGGGCAGAGUUACAAAGCAAGGAACGAGGCGUGCUGGAAUUGGAAGUCACUUCAGGUCUAUCCGGCCUGUCUGCGUCCCACACUCAAACUAUAGGUGGCUCCUUACUCAGGAGAGGGAAUAACCUGUUCUUUCAUUCUGUUCCCAUCCUACCUCGGUGGGUUCUAUUUCCAGAGUGUACUUGAGCCUCACAGGGCUUCCCUGUCCUGCUCCAUUCUGUUUAGAAUGAGCUUCUGAAUCUACCUAUUAUGAGGUCCUCCUGGCUUUGAUUGACAGGCGAUAUCUUUUAAAGUGAAAAGUAUUAUGUUUGGGUCUUCCUUUAGAUGGUGAAUAUAAGAUCAGGGCUCCUCAGUCCUGUCUGGGCCGUGAGCCAGCACAGAUCUUGAGUUAUCUUUGUGUCCCGCUUCGAGGCCCCGGCCACAGAAAGGGCAGGACAGGAUGGGGGAAG